GCAAGUCGAGGGGUAACAUUGGUGCUUGCACCAGAUGACGACCGGCGCACGGGUGCGGAACGCGUAUGGAACCUACCUUUGUCAGGGGAAUAGCCCAGAGAAAUUUGGAUUAAUGCCCCAUAGUAUUGUUAUAACACAUGUUAUACUAAUUAAAGAUUUAUCGGACAGAGAUGGCCAUGCGUACCAUUAGUUAGUUGGUAAGGUAACGGCUUACCAAGACCGCGAUGGUUAGGGGCCCUGAGAGGGGGAUC
rnacentral:rRNA from 1 species